rnacentral:rRNA from 1 species
AUGAACGCUAGCUACAGGCUUAACCCCUGCCAGUCGAGGGGCAGCGGUAUCGAAAGCUUGCUUUCGGUAGCCGGCGACCGGCGCACGGGUGAGUAACGCGUAUCGAACCUGCCUCAUACUCGGGAAUAGCCUUGCGAAAGUAAGAUUAAUGCCCGGUGUUUUCAGAGUCCCGCAUGAGGCUUUGAACAAAGAUUUAUCGGUAUGAGAUGGCGAUGCGUCCCAUUAGCUUGUUGGCGGGGUAACGGCCCACCAAGGCAUCGAUGGGUAGGGGUUCUGAGAGGAAGGUCCCCCACAUUGGAACUGAGACACGGUCCAAACUCCUACGGGAGGCAGCAGUGAGGAAUAUUGAUCAAUGGGCGGAAGCCUGAACCAGCCAAGUAGCGUGCAGGAAGACGGCCCUCCGGGUUGUAAACUGCUUUUAGUUGGGAAUAAAACGGGGCUCGUGAGUCCCCUUGCAUGUACCAUCAGAAAAAGGACCGGCUAAUUCCGUG